AGCGCACACGGUGGAUGCCUAGGCGGUCAGAGGCGAUGAAGGACGUGGUAGCCUGCGAAAAGUGUCGGGGAGCUGGCAACAAGCUUUGAUCCGGCAAUAUCCGAAUGGGGAAACCCACUGCUUCGGCAGUAUCCUGCAGUGAAUUCAUAGCUGCUGGAAGCGAACCCGGUGAACUGAAAUAUCUAAGUAACCGGAGGAAAAGAAAUCAACCGAGAUUCCCUAAGUAGUGACGAGCGAACGGGGAACAGCCCUUAAGCUGGAAUGGCUUUAGAAAAACAAUCUGGAAAGAUUGGCCAUAGAAGGUGAUAGCCCUGUAUUUAAAAGGGCCACUCCAGUGAAGACGAGUAGGGCGGGGCACGUGAAACCCUGUCUGAAUAUGGGGGGACCAUCCUCCAAGGCUAAAUACUCCUGACCGACCGAUAGUGAACCAGUACCGUGAGGGAAAGGCGAAAAGAACCCCGGAGAGGGGAGNGGACCAUCCUCCAAGGCUAAAUACUCCUGACCGACCGAUAGUGAACCAGUACCGUGAGGGAAAGGCGAAAAGAACCCCGGAGAGGGGAGUGAAAUAGAUCCUGAAACCGUGUGCGUACAAGCAGUAGGAGCUCGCAAGAGUGACUGCGUACCUUUUGUAUAAUGGGUCAGCGACUUACUGUUCGUGGCAAGCUUAACCGUAUAGGGGAGGCGAAGGGAAACCGAGUCUGAUAAGGGCGCAUAGUCGCGGGCAGUAGACCCGAAACCGGGUGAUCUAGUCAUGGCCAGGGNCCCACGUCUGUUGCAAAAGACGGGGAUGAGCUGUGAUUAGGAGUGAAAAGCUAAUCGAACCCGGAGAUAGCUGGUUCUCCUCGAAAGCUAUUUAGGUAGCGCCUCGGACGAAUACUACUGGGGGUAGAGCACUGUUAUGGCUAGGGGGUCAUCGCGACUUACCAAACCAUUGCAAACUCCGAAUACCAGUACGUACUAUCCGGGAGACACACGGCGGGGGCUAACGUCCGUCGUGAAAAGGGAAACAACCCAGACCCACAGCUAAGGUCCCAAAUUCACUGCUAAGUGGAAAACGAUGUGGAAAGGCACAGACAGCCAGGAGGUUGGCUUAGAAGCAGCCACCCUUUAAAGAAAGCGUAAUAGCUCACUGGUCGAGUCGGUCUGCGCGGAAGAUUUAACGGGGCUAAGCAGUGAACCGAAGCUUGGGGUGCAUAAAACUUGUUUUAUGCGCGGUAGAGGAGCGUUCCGUAAGCCUGCGAAGGUGGAUUGAGAAGUCUGCUGGAGGUAUCGGAAGUGCGAAUGCUGACAUGAGUAACGAUAAUGCGGGUGAAAACCCCGCACGCCGAAAGCCCAAGGUUUCCUUGCGCAACGUUAAUCGACGCAGGGUUAGUCGGUCCCUAAGGCGAGGGCGAAAGCCGUAGUCGAUGGGAAGCAGGUUAAUAUUCCUGCACCUCGCGUGAGUGCGAUGGAGGGACGGAGAAGGUUAGGUGUACCGGGCGUUGGUUGUCCCGGGGAAAGGCGGUAGGUUUGAAUCUUUGGCAAAUCCGGGAUUCUUUAAGACCGAGCACCGAGACGAGCCUUUAUGGCGAAGUCACUGAUACCACGCUUCCAGGAAAAGCUCCUAAGCUUCAGCUCACGAAGACCGUACCGUAAACCGACACAGGUGGGUAGGAUGAGAAUUCUCAGGCGCUUGAGAGAACUCGGGUGAAGGAACUAGGCAACAUGGCACCGUAACUUCGGGAGAAGGUGCACCCUUUUUGGUGGCUCAUGCGAGCUAUAGCUGAAGAGGGUCGCAGAAACCAGGCCGCUGCGACUGUUUAUCAAAAACACAGCACUCUGCAAACACGAAAGUGGACGUAUAGGGUGUGACGCCUGCCCGGUGCUGGAAGGUUAAUUGAUGGGGUCAGCCGCAAGGCGAAGCUCUUGAUCGAAGCCCCAGUAAACGGCGGCCGUAACUAUAACGGUCCUAAGGUAGCGAAAUUCCUUGUCGGGUAAGUUCCGACCUGCACGAAUGGCGUAACGACAGCGGCGCUGUCUCCACCCGAGACUCAGUGAAAUUGAAAUCGCUGUGAAGAUGCAGCGUUCCCGUGGCAAGACGGAAAGACCCCGUGAACCUUUACUAUAGCUUUACACUGAACGUUGAGUUCGUCUGUGUAGGAUAGGUGGGAGGCUAUGAAACUGUGGCGCUAGCUGCAGUGGAGCCAUCCUUGAAAUACCACCCUGUCGUGCUUGACGUUCUAACCUAGAUCCGUUAUCCGGAUCAGGGACCGUGUAUGGUGGGUAGUUUGACUGGGGCGGUCUCCUCCUAAAGAGUAACGGAGGAGCACGAAGGUACGCUCAGCGCGGUCGGACAUCGCGCACUGUGUGCAAAGGCAUAAGCGUGCUUGACUGCAAGAUCGACGGAUCAAGCAGGUACGAAAGUAGGUCUUAGUGAUCCGGUGGUUCUGUAUGGAAGGGCCAUCGCUCAACGGAUAAAAGGUACUCCGGGGAUAACAGGCUGAUACCGCCCAAGAGUUCAUAUCGACGGCGGUGUUUGGCACCUCGAUGUCGGCUCAUCACAUCCUGGGGCUGUAGUCGGUCCCAAGGGUAUGGCUGUUCGCCAUUUAAAGUGGUACGCGAGCUGGGUUCAGAACGUCGUGAGACAGUUCGGUCCCUAUCUGCCAUGGGCGUUGGAAGUUUGAGAGGGGCUGCUCCUAGUACGAGAGGACCGGAGUGGACGAACCUCUGGUGUUCCGGUUGUCACGCCAGUGGCAUUGCCGGGUAGCUAUGUUCGGAAGCGAUAACCGCUGAAAGCAUCUAAGCGGGAAGCGCGCCUCAAGAUGAGACUUCCCGGGGCACAAGCCCCCUAAAGGAACCAUAUAGACUAUGUGGUUGAUAGGUCAGGUGUGUAAGUACAGCAAUGUAUUGAGCUAACUGAUACUAAUGAUCCGUGCGGCUUGACC
rnacentral:rRNA from 1 species